GCCCAGGCUCGAGUGCAGUGGCGCGAUCUCAGCUCACCGCAAGCUCCGCCUCCCGGGGUCACGCCAUCCUCCUGCCUCAGCCUCCCGAGUAGCUGGGACUACAGGCGCCCGCCACCGCGCCCGGCUAACUUUUUGUAUUUUUAGUAGAGACGGGGUUUCACCGUGUUAGCCAGGAUGGUCUCGAACUCCUGACCUCGAUCCGCCCGUCUCAGCCUCCCAAAGUGCUGAGAUUACAGGCGUGAGCCGCCGUGCCCGGCCGGAAGGGGCUUCUUAAUCCACCACAUGCUGAGAAUUGAUUGCUGGCCCAGUAGUGUCAGAACACACCCAGGGCUUUCAGCUGCAGUCGGGCCUCUGCACCCAAGUCUUGAUGGCAUCGUAAUUAGGUCACCUGCGGCCUAACCUGGGGGACGAUGACUCCGCCAGCCUGCCAGGGAUGGUUUCAACAGCAGGACUGCAUGGCAACAACAGCCACAGCAGUGAAAGCACUGACAUUGCUCCAAUAAGAUGGGCAACGCCCAGGGCUGACCCUUUAAAAAUACCCAUGUGAUCUACUUCAUCAAGUUUCCUGGCUUUUUUCUUUUCUUUUCUUUUCUCUUUUCUUUUCUGCUUUUUCUUUUGAGACAGUGUCUUGCUCUGUUGCCCAGGCUGGAGUGCAGUGGCGGCAUCGCGGCCCACAGCAGCCUCAACCAUAUGGGCUCAAGCAAUCCUCCCACCUCAGCCUCCUGAGUAGCUGCGACCACAGGUA
rnacentral:lncRNA from 10 species